CCUGGUGCUUAUUGCGCAAUGGAACCACUCCGAUCCAUCCCGAACUCGGUUGUGAAACGAUGCAGCGGUGAAAAUACUUGGGGGGUAGCCUCCUGGGAAGAUAACUCGGUGCCAGGU
rnacentral:rRNA from 1 species